CCAGACUCCUACGGGAGGCAGCAGUGGGGAAUAUUGGGCAAUGGGCGCAAGCCUGACCCAGCAACGCCGCGUGAAGGAAGAAGGCUUUCGGGUUGUAAACUUCUUUUGUCAGGGACGAAGCAAGUGACGGUACCUGACGAAUAAGCCACGGCUAACUACGUGCCAGCAGCCGCGGUAAUACGUAGGUGGCAAGCGUUAUCCGGAUUUAUUGGGUUUAAAGGGUGCGUAGGCGGGACGGUAAGUCAGCGGUAAAAAUGCGGAGCUCAACUCCGUCGAGCCGUUGAAACUGCCGUUCUUGAGUGAGCGAGAAGUAUGCGGAAUGCGUGGUGUAGCGGUGAAAUGCAUAGAUAUCACGCAGAACUCCGAUUGCGAAGGCAGCAUACCGGCGCUCAACUGACGCUGAAGCACGAAGGCGUGGGUAUCGAACAGGAUUAGAUACCCUAGUA
rnacentral:rRNA from 1 species